AGCUCUGUGCAGUGGUAGCAUCAUAGCCAAUGAGGUUUAUCUUAGGAGUGAUUAUUGCUAAUUGAAAGACUCAAAAUUCCCAGCUUGGCUAACUACUGGCUGUAUCAUUUGGGCAGGUGACUAAAUUUCUGUGCUUGGGUUUCCACA
rfam:Canis lupus familiaris chromosome 4, whole genome shotgun sequence.